rnacentral:rRNA from 1 species
CAAUAGCGUCUAUUAAAGUUGUUGCAGUUCAAAAGCUCGUAGUUGGAUUUCUGGUGGGAGCGAUCGGUCUGGCGCUUAGCGCGAGUACUUGCAUCGUCUCCGGCCAUCCUUGGGGAGAGUCUGUCUGGCAUUAGGUUGUCGGGCAGAGGAUCCUCAUCGUUUACUGUGAAAAAAUUAGAGUGUUCAAAGCAGGCUUAUGCCGUUGAAUAUAUUAGCAUGGAAUAAUAAGAUAGGACUUUGGUACUAUUUUGUUGGUUUGCGCACCAAAGUAAUGAUUAAUAGGGACAGUUGGGGGUAUUCGUAUUCCGUUGUCAGAGGUGAAAUUCUUGGAUUUACGGAAGACGAACUACUGCGAAAGCAUUUACCAAGGAUGUUUUCAUUAA